GUAGGGAAUAUUGCGCAAUGGGGGAAACCCUGACGCAGCGACGCCGCGUGAGUGAUGAAGGCCUUCGGGUCGUAAAGCUCUGUUGCAGGGGAAUAAAAAAAUGAAGGUACCCUGUGAGGAAGGAUCGACUAACUUCGUGCCAGCAGCCGCGGUAAGACGAGGGAUCCUAGCGUUGCUCGGAAUCAUUGGGCGUAAAGAGGGCGUAGGUGGCUUGGUAAGUCAGGUGUGAAAGCCCAGGGCUCAACCCUGGAAGUGCAUUUGAUACUGCUGAGCUUGAGUGUCGGAGAGGUUACCGGAAUACCUGGUGUAGUGGUGAAAUACGUAGAUAUCAGGUGGAACACCGGAGGCGAAGGCGGGUAACUGGACGAACACUGACACUGAGGCCCGAAAGCGUGGGGAUCAAACAGGAUUAGAUACCCCGGUAGUCC
rnacentral:rRNA from 1 species